rnacentral:piRNA from 1 species
CCUCAUGUGAGUUGGUGACUGAGACU